GAUGAACGCUGGCGGCGUGCCUAAUACAUGCAAGACGAGCGAACGGACGAGAAGCUUGCUUCUCUGAUGUUAGCGGCGGACGGGUGAGUAACACGUGGAUAACCUACCUAUAAGACUGGGAUAACUUCGGGAAACCGGAGCUAAUACCGGAUGAUAUUUUGAACCGCAUGGUUCAAAAGUGAAAGACGGUCUUGCUGUCACUUAUAGAUGGAUCCGCGCUGCAUUAGCUAGUUGGUAAGGUAACGGCUUACCAAGGCAACGAUGCAUAGCCGACCUGAGAGGGUGAUCGGCCACACUGGAACUGAGACACGGUCCAGACUCCUACGGGAGGCAGCAGUAGGGAAUCUUCCGCAAUGGGCGAAAGCCUGACGGAGCAACGCCGCGUGAGUGAUGAAGGUCUUCGGAUCGUAAAACUUUGUUAUUAGGGAAGAACAUAUGUGUAAGUAACUGUGCACAUCUUGACGGUACCUAAUCAGAAAGCCACGGCUAACUACGUG
rnacentral:rRNA from 1 species